GUGGAUUAGAUACCCUGGUAGUCCAUGCCGUAAACGAUGUACACUAGGUGUCGGGCCCUCUGGGUUCGGUGCCGCAGUUAACACAUUAAGUGUACCACCUGGGGAGUACGGUCGCAAGACUGAAACUCAAAGGAAUUGACGGGGACCCGCACAAGCGGUGGAGCAUGUGGUUUAAUACGACGCUACGCGUGGAACCUUACCUCGGCUUGACAUGUAUUUGAAAGCCUAUCGAAAGAUAGGACCUCUCCUAAAGAGACAAUUACACAGGUGUUGCAUGGCUGUCGCCAGCU
rnacentral:rRNA from 1 species